rnacentral:rRNA from 1 species
UAAGCGGAGGAAAAGAAACUAACAAGGAUNCCCNUAGUAACUGCGAGUGAAGCGGGAAAAGCUCAAAUUUAAAAUCUGGUGGUCUUUGGCCAUCCGAGUUGUAAUUUAGAGAAGCGUCUUCCGCGCUGGACCGUGCACAAGUCUCCUGGGAUGGAGCGUCGUAGAGGGUGAGAAUCCCGUCUUUGGCACGGAUGUACCAGGGCUUUUGUGAUGCGCUCUCGAAGAGUCGAGUUGUUUGGGAAUGCAGCUCAAAAUGGGUGGUGAACUCCAUCUAAAGCUAAAUACUGGCGAGAGACCGAUAGCGAACAAGUACCGUGAGGGAAAGAUGAAAAGCACUUUGGAAAGAGAGUGAAACAGUACGUGAAAUUGUUGAAAGGGAAACGCUUGAAGUCAGUCGCGUCGACCGAGACUCAGCCUCGCCUCGGCUUGGUGUACUUCUCGGCUGACGGGUCAGCAUCAAUUUUGCCCCUUGGAUAAUGGCGAGGGAAAUGUGACACCUUCACGGUGUGUUAUAGUCUCUCGUCGCAUGCAAGGGUUGGGAUUGAGGAACUCAGCACGCGCCUUUCGGCGUCGGGGCUUUGCCCACGAUACGUGCUUAGGAUGUUGGCGUAAUGGCUUUAAACGACC